GUGAGUGUGGUAUAGUGAUUCAAUCAUUAGACUACAACUCUGAAGAACAGGGUUCAAAUCCCUGCUCAGCCA